rnacentral:rRNA from 1 species
UACGGAGGGGGCUAGCGUUGUUCGGAAUUACUGGGCGUAAAGCGCACGUAGGCGGCUUUGUAAGUUAGAGGUGAAAGCCCGGGGCUCAACUCCGGAAUUGCCUUUAAGACUGCAUCGCUAGAAUUGUGGAGAGGUAAGUGGAAUUCCGAGUGUAGAGGUGAAAUUCGUAGAUAUUCGGAAGAACACCAGUGGCGAAGGCGGCCUGCUGGGCUAUGGCUGACACUGAGGCGCGACAGCGUGGGGAGCAAACAGG